UACGUAGGGUGCAAGCGUUGUCCGGAAUUAUUGGGCGUAAAGAGCUCGUAGGCGGUUCGUCGCGUCGGCUGUGAAAACCUGAGGCUCAACCUCGGGUCUGCAGUCGAUACGGGCAAACUAGAGUAUUGCAGGGGAGACUGGAAUUCCUGGUGUAGCGGUGAAAUGCGCAGAUAUCAGGAGGAACACCGGUGGCGAAGGCGGGUCUCUGGGCAAUAACUGACGCUGAGGCGCGAAAGCGUGGGGAGCAAACAGG
rnacentral:rRNA from 1 species